ACUACCGUAGGUUUAUGAACUAAACGGCGGCAAGCAAGAGAAAGCCGGCGGCAAGCUUUGCGGAGUACCGGUAUUAAUAACCAUGGCGAAUAAAAUUUGAUCACACACUAUUUCAAACCAAGUAGCAGCAGCGGCAGGUCUGACGUCACACACACACACACCUCCAUCUGUGUCAGAAGAGGCGGCUGAUGCUGUGCCCGUGGCUCCAGCAGAAAAGAGGAGAAAAACGCGGGCCUUCAGGCCGGACUGGAAAGAGAAGUUCCCCUGGGUGAGGUGCGAUAUUGUAGAGGAUGAGGAGAGGCUGUUUUGCGCUCAGUGUGUAAAAUCAGGGAGGAAGAAUGGCUUCACUCGGGGGUCCGCAAAUAUGCGAUUCUCAAGUUUAACAGAGCACAGUCAGUGCAAUGAUCACAUUUCGGCUGCAAACCUAAAACAAAAAAUAGGAGCCAGUGAUUUCAUCGGGAUCAUAAUUGACGAGACAGUCAACAUAACGGUUGACAAAAAGUUGAUCCUGUAUGUAGAAUUGGAGUGGAAGAGUGGAGACGUGCUUUGUGGGAAACUACGACGUACACUCCGGGACGGCACAGCGUAUUUUCGAUAAAGUAGCAGAGAUUUUCCGCGGCAGGAAUGUGGAGCUGUCCCGCGUAAUUGGACUGGGCUCGGAUGGAGCCAGCGUAAUGAUGGGGAGGCAUGCUGGAGUUGGCGCUGUCCUGAAAAAAAUAGUGUUUUCCUUCCAGGUGCACUGUGUUGCCCAUCGUACUGCACUGGCCGCGAUAGACGCCGCUAAAGCUGUGGACCGGGUAGGAGCCUACAAGCGCACAAUUUCCGCUGUGUACUCCUUCUACAAACACUCAGCUAGCAGGACCAAUCGCCUCAAUCGUCAACUAACAGCAACUCUGAGCGAAGAGGACAUACGAGUCUGAAGCAGCCAUGCGCUGUCCGCCGGCUGUCAUUGCAUAGGGCAGUGGAGAGUAUCACCAAGGCCUGCCUUGGUGAUGGAGCUAAAUGAAGAAGCUGUGGGAGGAAAUGCCCAAGCCCAAGGCAUCCUGGGACAAAUCCAGCCAAAUAUCGCCUUGACGCACACACUGGCUGAAGUUCUCCCCGUGAUGACCAAACUGAAUUUGGUUUUCCAGAUAGAUGAUGUGAAUCUGGCCACAAUCCGACCAAUGGUUCAAGCAUCCUUCUCGGCCCUCACACAGCUACGAGAUGCACCCGGUCCAGAAGAACAGAGGUACCAAACAGACUCCCAAGAAGGCAUGUACAAAGGCAUUCAAGUGACCCAUGCAGGCGUCCGGUCCGUUCAAGCCCUCAAAAAUGCCCAAACAAGCUACAUUCAACACCUGAUCAAUGCUUUACACGGCCGUUUCCCUGACGAUUCCCUGGAUCUGCUUUACUGCUUCGACGUCCUUCUUAAUCCCUCCCGAUACCCACAGACAGCUGGUUCUCUCAGCACUUCGGGAGCAUGCAGAACCAGCCAUCCAAACCAUGCUGGGUCAUUUUGGCCAAGAAAUUGCCAGCGAGGACGAGUCGGCAACAGCCACCACAUUCAUCGAUGCCGCAAGCGCGCAGCGAGAUGCCAUCCCAAUGAUGACAGCCCUCCGCAGUUACGGGGGCUUGCAUUUUUCAACGGCCUGCGAGAUGCUCAUAAGAGAUUACGCUGAAAUCUUCCCAGAGUUGGUCAAACUGGCAAAGAUAGCCUGUGUUAUCCCCAUCUCCAUUGUACCAGUGGAGAGAGGCUUCUCCCUGCAGAACCGCAUAAAGAAUGCUCAGUGAAGCCGCCUUGGGGAAGGAAGAGUCACGAGGCUUAUGCGCAUUGCAAGCAGCAGAGACACUCGAUACAUUUGACUUUAAUUCAGCAGCUGCCAAAUAUCGAAAGAAGUAAAAAAUCUUUUUUAUUUAUUUUAUGCUGUAGGCCUAGUUGAAGUCGCGGCCGGCAAUUCACUGUUGUAGCCUUAUCCACUUUAAAAUACUGCUGUUUUUUGUUACACUAUAGUUUAAUGAUUUUAAUUUAAUUAUUUUCAUUAGUCUGCAUUUUAUAAUGUUACGCGCCAGUUUGUUUUACUGUAGGUAGCCUGCUUUGUGUUGUUUUAGGCUAUUAUUAUUUAUGCCUUGCCUUGCAGUAUAGACCUAAAUAAUUUUUGUUUGUCUGCACUUUAAAAUGCAAUGUUUAAUUGUUCUGACCUCCACCUGCCAACCUUUUAAUUAAAAACACCAGGCUUUAGAUCGACA